GACGAACGCUGGCGGCGUGCUUAACACAUGCAAGUCGAACGGAAAGGCCCUGCUUUUGUGGGGUGCUCGAGUGGCGAACGGGUGAGUAACACGUGAGUAACCUGCCCUUGACUUUGGGAUAACUUCAGGAAACUGGGGCUAAUACCGGAUAGGAGCUCCUGCUGCAUGGUGGGGGUUGGAAAGUUUCGGCGGUUGGGGAUGGACUCGCGGCUUAUCAGCUUGUUGGUGGGGUAGUGGCUUACCAAGGCUUUGACGGGUAGCCGGCCUGAGAGGGUGACCGGCCACAUUGGGACUGAGAUACGGCCCAGACUCCUACGGGAGGCAGCAGUGGGGAAUAUUGCACAAUGGGCGGAAGCCUGAUGCAGCAACGUAGCGUGCGGGAUGACGGCCUUCGGGUUGUAAACCGCUUUCGCCUGUGACGAAGCGUGAGUGACGGUAAUGGGUAAAGAAGCACCGGCUAACUACGUG
rnacentral:rRNA from 1 species